rnacentral:tRNA from 1 species
CGGGGCGUGGCUCAAUGGCUAGAGCGCUCGCUUGGGGUGCGAGAGACUGUGGGUUCAAUUCCCACCGCCCCGA